rnacentral:rRNA from 1 species
GAUGAACGCUGGCGGCGUGCUUAACACAUGCAAGUCGAACGGAAAGGCCGAAGCUUGCUUCGGUGCUCGAGUGACGAACGGGUAAGAAACACGUGGGUGAUCUGCCCUGUACUUCUGAAUAAGCUUAGGAAACUGGGUCUAUUACCGUGUAUGCCAGUCGCUUGGAUGGGGUUGUGGAAAGCUUUUGCGGUUUGGUAUGAGCUCGCGGCCUCUCAGCUUGUUGGUGGGGUAAUGGCUUACCAAGGCGUCGACGGGUAGCCGGCCUGAGAGGGGGUACGGCAAAAUUGGGCCUGAGUUACGGCCCGGACUCUACGGGGAGGAAGAAGGGGGGAAUAUUGCACAAUGGGCGAAAGCUGGAGGAAGCGACGCGGCGGGGGGGAUGAGGGCCUUCGGGUGGUAAACGCCUUUCGCAACGGACGAAGCUUUUGUGACGGUAGGUGGAGAAGAAGCACCGGCUAACUACGUG